CUGAAUCAAAGCAACCUUGUACUCAUGCAGUCAUAUCAUCCAGUCUCUUUAUGAUUAGUCUCCUAGGCUUUCAGUAUGUCUGCACAUCUGUUACAGGUAAUCAUAUGCAUUGAACACGUGAUUUCUUGUCGUGGAAAGAAUGUAAAAAAUGCUGUUUAUGUGUUUUGAAUGUCUUUCUCUCCUCUCUUCCAGAGGGGUCACCUCAACUUCUCGCCCUUCGGGGCAGGGGCGGCGCUGUAGGCUGGGGGCUGAAUGAGCCCUCGGGCCUGUGUAGGGAUGGGGUUCUCCAGAGGUCACGUGUAUGUGGGGAUCAGUGGGCCACUCUGCAGGACUUAUUGUGCUGGCGGAGGAGUGUUUGUGAUGGCCGACCAGACUGGCAGAACGCUUGGCUCCACACAAAAACCUCACCCACCCUAACAGUGAAGCCCAAGAGUCCCAGAAAGAAAUCAUCGCCCUAGAGAUCGUGGUCUCCCUGAAGCCUCAGUUAAACCCCACUCCCUAGGCCGGAUGGCACUUUUUAAGUUCUGCCCUUCACAUAGGGGUGGCGUCCUCUAAACAGAACCAGACUCUGGACUCCCAGUUUGUUAUUGUUUCUUUCUUCACUUCUUUGAAGGAAAGGUUCCUUGGAAAAUUGUUCCACGCCAUCUCUCUAACUAAUGGCCAACUGGGACCAAAUUACAUGAAGUCCCCAAAGACUACCAAGCCCAACUUUGAAAACAUAAACUCAUCUUUGGGCAGACAAAAGGUGGAAGGCUAUUUUGAAUACCAUUUGCAGUGUCCCAAACAUCACACCAUUUGGAAAAUUGCAAUUUUUGGUUGCUUUGAUUACAACUCAUCAACGCUAUCUGAGGGCUGUGCAAAAAUCUCAACUGUGUGCUGUAGUCUACAUUGUGGGCCGUAUUUUAGUUUUAAACCCUGGUGCUGGUCGCUCCACGUGUGGUUGUUGUUGACCCGGUUGGGUUAAAAGUGCCAAUUCUGUUCCAACUCGAAACACUCGAGACACAUGGAUGCGACAGACCUUAAAGUUUACAAGACUUGUGUUGACCUCCUAGGUCUAGCUUUGUGAACAAAGUCCUCCUUCAGGUUCAGAGAAGCAGCUACACCUUACGCUUUUUCAGGUGCUUUGGUUACCCUCCAUCAGAGGUGGCAGCCAUCACACAGGUUUUGACCUUACGAAGAGGUCAGAGUUCAGGGAAAUCACCAGUAACAUCACAGGUCCACAACAUUUCCACCAGCUUCUAAACUACAUUCAUUGAUCACCCUAGGCCAAUGAGUACGUCUUGCGAAACCAAAAGUUUCUCUUGACAAACUUGAAGACGCCUGGUUUAUAUCAAAUGGUUAAAAAGCACAAUUUUCCAAAUACACCUUUAGAUGAAACAAUCAUUACUAGGGAUGGAUAUUACUGCCGAUGCGACUCUGAAAGCUCCCGUAACCGUUUUUGGACUUUUCCUCAAAGGUGCUUAUGCACGAAUGCUGGGUUGUAUGGAUAUAUGUCACUACCUUAGCAGACAACCUGUACAAACAGCACAUGACCGUUGGUCUCCCUGAAGCUUCAAACUAUUCAUCUCUCUAGUCAUUCCUAAUUUGUGAAGGUGCACCGAUGCCUCCAAACAGAGGCCUCGUGGCAUUUGGUUCAUCCAUACAGUGUGCACAUGCAGACCUUGAACACUGGGUUUUCAGCAGGAGACAAACCAUAAGCAAACCCGUGUACUUGAAGUACAGACACUUUUCUGAGAAUAAGCAGAACUUGACCUUCUGGUUCUGAUUGAAUUCAGUAUGACUGAAUAGAUGGAUUAUGUACAGACUGCGGCAUAUUAUUGUCUUCAUAAUGGAAAGUUAUUUCUGAAUGUUCAAGGAUGCAAUGACAGAAAGCCUAAGGUGGUGGGUUUUAUAGUGUGAAUAUCGUUUCACUACAGAAUGAUUGUUUAUUCAUGGGGAACUCUUUAGCCGUUGUCCGUCUUCGCAGGACUUCGGUCAGUCUUCAAAAUGUAUAAAGAUAUUUAAUGUAUUGUACAGAACAUUUGUGUUUGUGCAAGUAUGUUUAAGUUGCACUUUGCCACUGUGUUUCAUUUAGGCUUCAUUGAGAGCAUCACUUCAUGCCUGUGUGCUUAUCCUUAAGGUGGCAUCCUGAAAAAGUUCCCCCGAAUGUUAGACGUUCAAAAAAGAGCCAGUUCAGCCCCUUUCUGACACAAUGAUCCAUGUCAACCUCUCUGGUCUCAAUAUUUAAAUGUGCAUACAUUAAAUCUGGAAAAAUGGUGACUUAAAAUGUAUGAUUUGUAUAACCAGUUGUAACUAAUGAUUGUAUUGAAACGGUAAUUUAUUUUCAGUGUGAAACACUAUUUAACAUUUAUUCAAAUUAGAUUAUUUUAAGCCCCAGUUUUGUGAGUAGUACUUUCUGGCUUUAUUAAUCAUUACAGACAGCUCAAAAAAUGGGCUGCUAUAAAGCUUUUGAAUCGCGUAUCUUCUUCUGUCUCUAUAUGUCCCACCUAAUGUGAAUAGUCCCUUUCCCCAUUCCAUUGGACGGUGGUUUAAAAGCAUCUUUCACUGCUGUGCAGUCUUGCAGACGCAUAUUAAAAUCAAUGACCGGAACUCACUUCAUGGGUUUGAUCCACAGCUGCUUUACAUCGCUACUGCUUAACAGGGUUAUAAUUAUUUGAAACAUUUAUUUAUUGAAGAAAAAAAACAACAACUCUAUUUUAUAAUGUCUAGUAUUGUCUUGCCAUCAAUACUAUAAAGCAAAAAGAGAAUGAAAAGAACUGUACAGUAUGAACCCAUUUUUCUACUUUGUUGUUGAAAAGGCAACGUAUGUUAACGCAUGUGAUCUCUUAUGUACACGGCCCGUCUGUCUGUUUUUCUGUGCUUAGUCUGAUAUGUUGUGGAGAUAUAGACAUCAUUGGAUCAUGCCCUUUGUCUAAACUGGAGCUGUGGAACCAUCCAUCCUGUUAUAUAAACCCUCACCCUCCAACCCAAAAUGGCUUCAAAUGAAUGGAGAUCUUGUUUUGAUGGCAAAAUAAUGGGCAGAAAUUGUUUGGCAAAGAUCUGUAUGUAGGGGACAUCUGCCAGUGUUGUAGUCGAGACCAGUUCAUUCAAGAGAAUAGGGUCGAGCUGGAGUCCAAAACCAUAUUUUCUUGUCUAAGACUCGACUCUCUUCUGGUCAGAGUUGACUGAUUGCUUCUUUACUAACAACACUGACAUCUCCAUCUCAAGACACCAGAAAUAACUCAUUCGGAUUCAUGUGCUUGCUCAAAUAUGCAGAGAUCAUCUAAAUAUUAAAUUAAUGCUUUUUU